AUUGAACGCUGGCGGCAUGCCUAACACAUGCAAGUCGAGCGAGCGGCGGACGGGUGAGUAAUGUCUGGGAAACUGCCGGAUGGAGGGGGCUAACUACUGGAAACGGUAGCUAAUACCGCAUACCAUCAGAUGUGCCCAGAUGGGAUUAGCUAGUGGGUGGGGUAACGGCUCACCUAGGCGACGAUCCCUAGCUGGUCUGAGAGGAUGACCAGCAACACGGGAACUGAGACAGGGUCCAGACUCCUACGGGAGGAAGCAGUGGGGAAUAUUGCACAAUGGGCGCAAGCCUGAUGCAGACCUGCCGCGUGUAUGAAGAAGGCCUUCGGGUUGUAAAGUACUUUCAGCGGGGAGGCGUUACCCGCAGAAGAAGCACCGGCUAACUCCGUGCCAGCAGCCGCGGUAAUUC
rnacentral:rRNA from 1 species